GCAAGCAUAGUGCAAUGGCUAGCACAAUAGUCUCCAAAACUAUUAAUCUAGGUUCAAGCCCUAGUGCUUGUG
rnacentral:tRNA from 6 species